rnacentral:rRNA from 1 species
UACGUAGGGUGCGAGCGUUAAUCGGAAUUACUGGGCGUAAAGCGUGCGCAGGCGGUUUUGUAAGCCAGAUGUGAAAUCCCCGGGCUUAACCUGGGAAUGGCAUUUGGGACUGCAAGGCUGGAGUUUGGCAGAGGAGGCUGGAAUUCCCGGUGUAGCAGUGAAAUGCGUAGAUAUCGGGAGGAAUACCGAUGGCGAAGGCAGGUCUCUGGGCUAUAACUGACGCUCAUGCACGAAAGCGUGGGGAGCAAACAGG